AGAGUUUGAUCCUGGCUCAGAAUGAACGUUGGCGGCGUGGAUUAGGCAUGCAAGUCGAGCGAGAACCCCGCAAGGGGGGACAGCGGCAAACGGGGUAGUAACGGGUAGGUGACGUACCCUCGGGUUGGGGAUAGCCACGGGAAACUGUGGGUAAUACCCAAUAAUCUCCCGGAUCGUGAUGGUUCGGGAGCAAAGGUGUGAUUCCACCGGAGGAGCGGCCUGCUUCGUAUUAGCUAGUUGGUGAGGUAACGGCUCACCAAGGCUUCGAUGCGUAGGGGGUGUGAGAGCAUGACCCCCACCACUGGGACUGAGAUACUGCCCAGACACCUACGGGUGGCUGCAGUCGAGAAUCUUCGGCAAUGGGCGCAAGCCUGACCGAGCGACGCCGCGUGUGGGAUGAAGGCCCUUGGGUUGUAAACCACUGUCAGAGGGGAUGAAGUGCCAGAGAGUUAUCUCUUUGGUUUGACAUAGCCUCAGAGGAAGCACGGGCUAAGUUCGUGCCAGCAGCCGCGGUAAUAC
rnacentral:rRNA from 1 species